UUCGCAAUGCCCGAAAGGGUGACGAAGCGACGCCGCGUGGGUGAGGAAGGCCCUCGGGUUGUAAAGCCCUGUCAGGAGUUAAGAAAUGUAGGUGUGCUAAUAUCACGCCUAUUUGACGAAGGCUCCAAAGGAAGUCACGGCUAACUCUGUGCCAGCAGCCGCGGUAAUACAGAGGUGGCAAGCGUUGUUCGGAAUUAUUGGGCGUAAAGAGCACGUAGGUGGGUUUGUAAGUCAGAUGUGAAAGCCUCCUGUUCAACGGGAGAAUUGCAUCUGAAACUACUGAUCUUGAGUGUAGGAGGGGAGAAUGGAACUUCUGGUGGAGCGGUGAAAUGCGUAGAUAUCAGAAGGAACGCCGGCGGCGAAAGCGAUUCUCUGGCCUAUUACUGACACUCAGUGUGCGAAAGCUAGGGGAGCAAACGGGAUUAGAUACCCCGGUAGUCCUAGCCGUAAACGAUGGGCACUAAGUAGAGGGGUUUU
rnacentral:rRNA from 1 species